UACGUAGGGUGCAAGCGUUGUCCGGAAUUAUUGGGUGUAAAGAGCUCGUAGGCGGUUUGUCACGUCGGAUGUGAAACCCCGAGGCUUAACCUCGGGCCUGCAUUCGAUACGGGCUGACUAGAGUUCGGUAGGGGAGACUGGAAUUCCCGGUGUAGCGGUGAAAUGCGCAGAUAUCAGGAGGAACACCGGUGGCGAAGGCGGGUCUCUGGGCCGAUACUGACGCUGAGGAGCGAAAGCGUGGGGAGCGAACAGG
rnacentral:rRNA from 1 species